rnacentral:rRNA from 1 species
CUAAAGGGUUGUCGGAGACUACGACGUUGAUAGGUCAGGUGUGUAAGUGCUGUGAGGCAUUGAGCUAACUGAUACUAAUUGCCCGUGAGGCUUAACCAU